GAUUAUUGGGCGUAAGGGCUCGCAGGCGGUUUCUUAAGUCUGAUGUGAAAGCCCCCGGCUCAACCGGGGAGGGUCAUUGGAAACUGGGAAACUUGAGUGCAGAAGAGGAGAGUGGAAUUCCACGUGUAGCGGUGAAAUGCGUAGAGAUGUGGAGGAACACCAGUGGCGAAGGCGACUCUCUGGUCUGUAACUGACGCUGAGGAGCGAAAGCGUGGGGAGCGAACAGGAUUAGAUACCCUGGUAGUCCACGCCGUAAACGAUGAGUGCUAAGUGUUAGGGGGUUUCCGCCCCUUAGUGCUGCAGCUAACGCAUUAAGCACUCCGCCUGGGGAGUACGGUCGCAAGACUGAAACUCAAAGGAAUUGACGGGGGCCCGCACAAGCGGUGGAGCAUGUGGUUUAAUUCAAAACAACGCGAAGAACCUUACCAUGUCUUG
rnacentral:rRNA from 1 species